rnacentral:lncRNA from 1 species
GGCAAUGAAGUGAACAAGUAUGGGAAUAAUGCAGAAGGCCAUGAUGAAGAAUCAAAAUUCAAAGGAUUGUUUACUAAACCAAUUCCAUUUGUUAAACCUAUUCUAAAGCCAGUUCCUGUUAUUAAACCUAUUCCAAAGCCAGUUCCUGUUAUUAAACCUAUUCUAAAGCCAAUUCCUGUUAUUAAACCUAUUCUAAAACCAAUUCCUGUUAUCAAACCUAUUCUAAAACCAAUUCCUGUUAUCAAACCUAUUCUAAAACCAAUUCCUGUUAUCAAACCUAUUCCAAAGCCAGUUCCUGUUAUUAAACCUAUUCCUAUUCCAGUUUUUAAUAAGCCUGUACCAAAAUCAAUUUCCAUUAAGCCCACACCAAAACCAAUUCCAGACAUAAAGCCAAUUCCCAGUGAAGAAGUAAAAUUCAAAGGUCUUUUCCCAAAACCUAUUCCCAAAAUUAAGGCAAUACCAAAGGUAAUUCCAGUUGUUAAGCCUAUUUAUAUUCCAGUUGUUAAGCCUCUACCAAAGAUAGUUCCCAUUGUUAAGCCAAUUCCUAUUCUUAAAC